AGAGUUUGAUCCUGGCUCAGGACUAACGCUGGCGGCGUGCUUAACACAUGCAAGUUGAACGGAGCAAGUUUAUAGCAAUAUGAGCUUGCUUAGUAGCGGACGGGUGAGUAACGCGUGAGCAAUCUGCCUUUGUGAGGGGGACAACACCGGGAAACCGGUGCUAAUACCGCAUGAGACCACGGCUUCGAUUGGAGCAGAGGUAAAAGAUUUAUCGCACAAAGAUGAGCUCGCGUCCCAUUAGCUAGUUGGUGAGGUAACGGCCCACCAAGGCGACGAUGGGUAGCCGACCUGAGAGGGUGAUCGGCCACACUGGAACUGAGACACGGUCCAGACUCCUACGGGAGGCAGCAGUGGGGAAUAUUGGGCAAUGGGCGCAAGCCUGACCCAGCAACGCCGCGUGAGGGAAGAAGGUCUUCGGAUUGUAAACCUCUGUCCUAUGGGACGAAAAAAAUGACGGUACCAUGGGAGGAAGCCCCGGCUAACUACGUGCCAGCAGCCGCGGUAAUACGUAGGGGGCGAGCGUUGUCCGGAAUUACUGGGCGUAAAGGGUGCGCAGGCGGCUUGUCAAGUCAUGUGUGAAAUACCCAGGCUUAACUUGGGGGGUGCAUAUGAAACUGGCGAGCUUGAGUGCAGGAGAGGGGAGCGGAAUUCCUAGUGUAGCGGUGAAUGCGUAGAUAUUAGGAGGAACACCAGUGGCGAAGGCGGCUCUCUGGACUGCAACUGACGCUGAGGCACGAAAGCGUGGGGAGCAAACAGGAUUAGAUACCCUGGUAGUCCACGCGGUAAACGAUGGAUACUAG
rnacentral:rRNA from 1 species